rnacentral:rRNA from 1 species
UAACGUUACCAAACUGUUGCCUCGGCGGGAUCUUCUGCCCCGGGUGCGUCGCAGCCCCGGACCAAGGCGCCCGCCGGAGGAAUCAACCAAAACUCUUAUUGUAUACCCCCUCGCGGGUUUUUUUUUUAUAAUCUGAGCCUUCUCGGCGCCUCUCGUAGGCGUUUCGAAAAUGAAUCAAAACUUUCAACAACGGAUCUCUUGGUUCUGGCAUCGAUGAAGAACGCAGCGAAAUGCGAUAAGUAAUGUGAAUUGCAGAAUUCAGUGAAUCAUCGAAUCUUUGAACGCACAUUGCGCCCGCCAGUAUUCUGGCGGGCAUGCCUGUCCGAGCGUCAUUUCAACCCUCGAACCCCUCCGGGGGGUCGGCGUUGGGGAUCGGCCUUCCUUCACGGGGGCCGUCUCCGAAAUACAGUGGCGGUCUCGCCGCAGCCUCUCCUGCGCAGUAGUUUGCACACUCGCAUCGGGAGCGCGGCGCGUCCACAGCCGUUAAACACCCAACUUUCUGAAAUGUUGACCUCGGAUCAGGUAGGAAUACCCGCUGAACUU